AACGAACGCUGGCGGCAUGCCUAACACAUGCAAGUCGAACGAGACCUUCGGGUCUAGUGGCGCACGGGUGCGUAACGCGUGGGAACCUGCCCUUAGGUUCGGACUAACUCCCCGAAAGGGGUGCUAAUACCGGAUAAUGUCUUCGGCCCAAAGAUUUAUCGCCUUUGGAUGGGCCUGCGUUGGAUUAGCUAGUUGGUAGGGUAAAAGCCUGCCAAGGCGACGAUCCAUAGCUGGUCUGAGAGGAUGAUCAGCAACACUGGGAGUGAGACACGGCCCAGACUCCUACGGGAGGCAGCAGUGGGGAAUAUUGGACAACGGGCGAAAGCCUGAGCCAGCAAUGCCGCGUGAGUGAUGAAGGCGUUAGGGUCGUAAAGCUCUUUUACCCGGGAUGAUAAUGACAGAACCGGGAGAAUAAGCUCCGGCAAACUCCGU
rnacentral:rRNA from 1 species